CACAUGCAAGUCGAGCGGUAGAGAGAAGCUUGCUUCUCUUGAGAGCGGCGGACGGGUGAGUAAUGCCUAGGAAUCUGCCUGGUAGUGGGGGAUAACGUUCGGAAACGGACGCUAAUACCGCAUACGUCCUACGGGAGAAAGCAGGGGACCUUCGGGCCUUGCGCUAUCAGAUGAGCCUAGGUCGGAUUAGCUAGUUGGUGGGGUAAUGGCUCACCAAGGCGACGAUCCGUAACUGGUCUGAGAGGAUGAUCAGUCACACUGGAACUGAGACACGGUCCAGACUCCUACGGGAGGCAGCAGUGGGGAAUAUUGGACAAUGGGCGAAAGCCUGAUCCAGCCAUGCCGCGUGUGUGAAGAAGGUCUUCGGAUUGUAAAGCACUUUAAGUUGGGAGGAAGGGCAGUAAAUUAAUACUUUGCUGUUUUGACGUUACCGACAGAAUAAGCACCGGCUAACUCUGUGCCAGCAGCCGCGGUAAUACAGAGGGUGCAAGCGUUAAUCGGAAUUACUGGGCGUAAAGCGCGCGUAGGUGGUUA
rnacentral:rRNA from 1 species